rnacentral:rRNA from 1 species
GAUGAACGCUAGCGGCAGGCUUAACACAUGCAAGUCGAGGGGCAGCAUAAUGGUAGUAAUACUAUUGAUGGCGACCGGCGGACGGGUGCGUAACGCGUAUGCAACCUACCCUUUACAGGGGGAUAACACUGAGAAAUCGGUACUAAUACCCCAUAAUAUUCUGGGAGGCAUCUUUCGGAGUUGAAAGCUUUGGUGGUAAAGGAUGGGCAUGCGUUGUAUUAGCUAGUUGGUAAGGUAACGGCUUACCAAGGCGACGAUACAUAGGGGGACUGAGAGGUUAACCCCCCACAUUGGUACUGAGACACGGACCAAACUCCUACGGGAGGCAGCAGUGAGGAAUAUUGGUCAAUGGACGGAAGUCUGAACCAGCCAUGCCGCGUGCAGGAAGACGGCUCUAUGAGUUGUAAACUGCUUUUGUACGAGGGUAAACGCAGAUACGUGUAUCUGCCUGAAAGUAUCGUACGAAUAAGGAUCGGCUAACUCCGUGCCAGCAGCCGCGGUAAUACGGAGGAUCCAAGCGUUAUCCGGAUUUAUUGGGUUUAAAGGGUGCGUAGGCGGUUUAGUAAGUCAGCGGUGAAAUUUUGGUGCUUAACACCAAACGUGCCGUUGAUACUGCUGGGCUAGAGAGUAGUUGCGGUAGGCGGAAUGUAUGGUGUAGCGGUGAAAUGCUUAGAGAUCAUACAGAACACCGAUUGCGAAGGCAGCUUACCAAACUAUAUCUGACGUUGAGGCACGAAAGCGUGGGGAGCAAACAGGAUUAGAUACCCUGGUAGUCCACGCAGUAAACGAUGAUAGCUCGUUGUCGGCGAUACACAGUCGGUGACCAAGAGAAAUCGAUAAGCUAUCCACCUGGGGAGUACGUUCGCAAGAAUGAAACUCAAAGGAAUUGACGGGGGCCCGCACAAGCGGAGGAACAUGUGGUUUAAUUCGAUGAUACGCGAGGAACCUUACCCGGGCUUGAAAGUUACUGACGAUUCUGGAAACAGGAUUUCCCUUCGGGGCAGGAAACUAGGUGCUGCAUGGUUGUCGUCAGCUCGUGCCGUGAGGUGUCGGGUUAAGUCCCAUAACGAGCGCAACCCCUACUGAUAGUUGCCAUCAGA